CAUUGUUAUCACAAAACAUGUAUUUAGAACCAACCACAUGCCAGGCCUCAUACUAGCUGACCAAUAUACACAGUGUUUGGCAAAAGCUAAGGUGAUGGUGUGCCAGUUCUGCUCUCUGCUGUAUCUGUGUCCUGUUUCCUUAUGUCGUUUGUAAUUUUUGAUCACAAGCACAUUUUCAACAAGGUUUGUUUACCAUGGGACCCCCAUGAGGCCUGAACUACAGAAGUGGUUUGGGGUUUGCCUCUGCCAGGUCCCUGGAGGUUUCAUUGGCCUUAGAUUAAUUUUUAUGUUAAACUUCUGUGGUAAAUUGUGUUUCUGGAGAAGACCACAACAAUAGACCCUCUCCCAAUAGCUCUUUUGUAAUGUGAUCUUGCCACUCCUCCAUCAAGAGGUGGAGUUUAUGAUCCCUUCCCCUGAUUCUGAGCUGCCUGUGACUGACUUUGAUUGACAGAAUGUGGCAGAAAUGACACUGCAUCACUUCCAAGACUGGCCUUAUGAGACUCCCAACUUUUGCUUUCACUACUUGGAGAGCUCCCUUUUGGAGGCCAGUCAUCGUGUUAGAAGCAUAACUAACUGGAGACCACUAUGUGGUGGAGAAGCUCAUGCUGUCUACAUAUAGAGGGAAAUGGCAUAUCAAUGAAUUAAACAUGAAAGUGAAGAUUUCUUGGCCCUCUCCAUCUUACUCAGCUCAUUGGAGCCACCAGCUGAAAGCAAGGGAGUGAAUGAGCCCAGCCCCGAGUGGAGCAGAAGGAGCCCAACCAGCGAAGCCCAGCCUGAAUUCCUGACUAACAGACUUAACAGGUGGAUUUUUGGGUUUGCUGAAGAAGAAAAAGAAGGAGAAGGAGAAGGAGAAGAAGAAGAGAAGUGUGAUUAACAAGAAAAAAACUUAUUUGGGGGCUAUGAACACCUUGAAUAUUUAACAGAAUAUCAGCUACUCAUCUGUAACCAUUCACUACAUAGCUAAACUUUUAGUAAUAAUGUAGGUAUUCUCUGGCCAAGAGAAAGAUAGGAUGUGUGUGUGUGUGUGUGUGUGUGUGUGUGUGUGUGUGUGUGUGUGUGUUUAACAGAAGAAAAUGGAAAGAAAAUAAAAUAAAGGAUAUUUUG
rnacentral:lncRNA from 1 species